GAAGAGCACUUGUUGAGUUCUAUGCUCCUUGGUGUGGACACUGUAAAAAGCUUGCCCCUGAAUAUGAAAAACUCGGUUCCAGCUUCAAGAAAGCCAAAUCUGUUUUAAUUGGCAAGGGUAGCAAGGAAAUAAGAGAGCAUCAGGCUUACUGCAGGAUCAUGCUUAG